rnacentral:rRNA from 1 species
UGGGGAAUAUUGGACAAUGGGCGAAAGCCUGAUCCAGCCAUGCCGCGUGUGUGAAGAAGGUCUUCGGAUUGUAAAGCACUUUAAGUUGGGAGGAAGGGCAGUAAGUUAAUACCUUGCUGUUUUGACGUUACCGACAGAAUAAGCACCGGCUAACUCUGUGCCAGCAGCCGCGGUAAUACAGAGGGUGCAAGCGUUAAUCGGAAUUACUGGGCGUAAAGCGCGCGUAGGUGGUUUGUUAAGUUGGAUGUGAAAGCCCCGGGCUCAACCUGGGAACUGCAUCCAAAACUGGCAAGCUAGAGUAUGGUAGAGGGUGGUGGAAUUUCCUGUGUAGCGGUGAAAUGCGUAGAUAUAGGAAGGAACACCAGUGGCGAAGGCGACCACCUGGACUGAUACUGACACUGAGGUGCGAAAGCGUGGGGAGCAAACAGGAUUAGAUACCCCCGUAGUCCCUGAGCGGGCUGGCAAGGCGCAU